ACUGCGGCAGGUAACACAACCUCUCUAUAUAAACCAAGGUGUCCGUGUUCUCUUCACAAAUCCUACUCUUCCAUUCUCUCUACCUACUCAAGCUUUCAUUGAAUUUGCAAACAUGGGAGAAAUGCUGGGAGCCAUGGCAUUAUUGAUGAAGAACUUCAAAAAGUAUGCUGGACAAGACGCAGACAAAGAAACAAUAAGCAAGAAAGAACUUUCUGAUAUGCUCCACGCGGAGAUUCCUGGAAUGAUCGGGGACAAAAAAGACUUGGACGCAUUCUUCACCGGCCUGGAUGAGGACGAGGAUGGCAAAGUUUCUUUCGAUGAGUAUAUCGUGCUUGUAGGAUGCUUAAUGAUGAUUCUCAAGGAAAUGCUGGAUGAAUAAAGUUCAUGUCAUUAUGUGUUCUGAGGAAACAACGAUAAAUCAUUGAUGGGUUCUUAUGUUAGCUUAAAGAACCUGAAAGGUGCUGUCUUUGAGCAUAAAUCAUUGAUUUUUAAUAUCAGAUGUUAACUAACAAAAAUAAAUGUUGUCACAUUUUAUAAUUGUUUGUGUGUGUUAUUAAACGAAAGAGAUAUUGUGAGAA